rnacentral:rRNA from 1 species
GACGAACGCUGGCGGCGUGCUUAACACAUGCAAGUCGAACGAAGAGCGAUGGAAGCUUGCUUCUAUCAAUCUUAGUGGCGAACGGGUGAGUAACGCGUAAUCAACCUGCCCUUCAGAGGGGGACAACAGUUGGAAACGACUGCUAAUACCGCAUACGAUCUAAUCUCGGCAUCGAGGAUAGAUGAAAGGUGGCCUCUACAUGUAAGCUAUCACUGAAGGAGGGGAUUGCGUCUGAUUAGCUAGUUGGAGGGGUAACGGCCCACCAAGGCGAUGAUCAGUAGCCCGUCUGAGAGGACGAGCAGCCACAUUGAGACUGAGACACGGCCCAGACUCCUACGGGAGGCAGCAGUGGGGAAUCUUCCGCAAUGGACGAGAGUCUGACGGAGCAACGCCGCGUGAGUGAUGACGGCCUUCGGGUUGUAAAGCUCUGUUAAUCGGGACGAAAGGCCUUCUUGCGAAUAGUGAGAAGGAUUGACGGUACCGGAAUAGAAAGCCACGGCUAACUACGUG